rnacentral:rRNA from 1 species
AUUGAACGCUGGCGGCAUGCCUUACACAUGCAAGUCGAACGGCAGCACGGGUGCUUGCCCCUGGUGGCGAGUGGCGAACGGGUGAGUAAUACAUCGGAACAUGUCCUGUAGUGGGGGAUAGCCCGGCGAAAGCCGGAUUAAUACCGCAUACGAUCUACGGAUGAAAGCGGGGGACCUUCGGGCCUCGCGCUAUAGGGUUGGCCGAUGGCUGAUUAGCUAGUUGGUGGGGUAAAGGCCUACCAAGGCGACGAUCAGUAGCUGGUCUGAGAGGACGACCAGCCACAGGGGAACGGAACACGGCCCCGAACACCGCGGGAGGGAAGAGGGGGGGAAUUUUGGAGAAGGGGCGAGGGCCGAACCCAGCAAUGCGGGGUGUGUAAAGAGGGCCUUCGGGUGGGAAAGCAGUUUGGCCGGAAAAGAAGCCUUUGGCCCAAAUAGGGGCGGGGGAGGAGGGAACGGGAAGAAAAAGCCCCGGCAAACUACGGG